rnacentral:rRNA from 1 species
UACGUAGGGAGCAAGCGUUGUCCGGAAUCAUUGGGCGUAAAGCGCGCGUAGGCGGCCCUGUAAGUCCGUUGUGAAAGUCAAAGGCUCAACCUUUGAAAGCCGAUGGAUACUGCAGGGCUAGAGUCCGGAAGAGGCGAGUGGAAUUCCUGGUGUAGCGGUGAAAUGCGCAGAUAUCAGGAGGAACACCGGUGGCGAAGGCGGGGCUCUGGGCCGAUACUGACGCUGAGGAGCGAAAGCGUGGGGAGCGAACAGG